GAUGAACGCUGGCGGCGUGCUUAAUACAUGCAAGUCGAGCGAACAGACGAUGAUCUUGCGCCUCGCACGUUAGCGGCGGAGGGGUGAGAAACGCGUGUAUAACCUACUUAUAAUAGGGGUAUAAUUUGGGAAAACGGGAUCAAAUCCGAUAGAAUAUAUUGCACCGCGGGGGGGAUUGGUAAAAUACGGUUUUUGGGGCAGGAAUAGCGGGAUCCGCGCCGCAUUGGCUAGUUGGGAAGGUAACGGCUUACCAAGGCAACGAUGCGUAGCCGACCUGAGAGGGUGAUCGGCCACACUGGAACGGAGCCACGGUCCAGACUCCUACGGGGCGCACCAGUAGGGAAUCUUACGCAAUGGGCGAAAGCCUGACGGAGCAACGCCGCGUGAGUGAUGAAGGUCUUCGGAUCGUAAAACUCUGUUAUUAGGGAAGAACAAAUGUGUACGUAAAUAUGCACGUAUUGACGGUACCUAAUCAGAAAGCAACGGCUAACUACGUG
rnacentral:rRNA from 1 species